AACGAACGCUGGCGGCGCGCCUAAUACAUGCAAGUCGAGCGAGAAGACGUAGCAAUACGUUUGUAAAGCGGCGAACGGGUGAGGAAUACAUGGGUAACCUACCCUCGAGUGGGGAAGUAACUAGCCGAAAGGUUAGCUAAUACCGCAUAAUGCAGCGGCUCGACAUCGAGACAGUUGUUAAAGCAGCAAUGCGCCUGAGGAGGAGCCUGCGUCUGAUUAGCUUGUU
rnacentral:rRNA from 1 species